rnacentral:rRNA from 1 species
ACCGGCGGCUCGAGUGGUGGCCACUAUUACUGGGCUUAAAGCGUUCGUAGCUUGGUUGUUAAGUCUUUUGGGAAAUCUUCCGGCUUAACCGGAAGGCGUUUCAGAGAUACUGGCAACCUAGGGACCGGAAGAGGUGAGAGGUACUCCAGGGGUAGGAGUGAAAUCCUGUAAUCCUUGGGGGACCACCUGUGGCGAAGGCGUCUCACCAGGACGGCUCCGACAGUGAGGAACGAAAGCUGGGGGAGCAAACCG